rnacentral:rRNA from 1 species
UUGUGCCCUUGAGGCGUGGCUUCCGGAGCUGACGCGUUAAAUCCACCUCCUGGGGAGUACGGCCGCAAGGUUAAAACUCAAAUGAAUUGACGGGGGCCCGCACAAGCGGUGGAGCAUGUGGUUUAAUUCGAUGCAGCGCGAAGAACCUUACCUACUCUUGACAUCCAGAGAACUUUCAAGAGAUGGAUUGGUGCCUUCGGGAACUCUGAGACAGGUGCUGCAUGGCUGUCGUCAGCUCGUGUUGUGAAAUGGUGGGUUAAGUCCCGCAACGAGCGCAACCCUUAUCCUUUGUUGCCAGAGAUUCGGUGGGGAACUCAAAGGAGACUGCCGGCGAUAACCCGGAGGAAGGUGGGGAUGACGUCAAGUCAUCAUGGCCCUUAGGAGUAGGGCUACACACGUGCUACAAUGGCGUAUUCAAAGAGAAGCGAACUCGCGAGAGCAAGCGGACCUCAUAAAGUACGUCGUAGUCCGGAUUGGAGAGGCAACUCGACUCCAUGAAGUCGGAAUCGCUAGUAAUCG